rnacentral:rRNA from 1 species
UACGGAAGGUGCAAGCGUUGUUCGGAGUGACUGGGCGUAAAGGGCGCGUAGGCAGGAUGGUAAGAAGAUUGUGAAAACCCCGGGCUCAACCUGGGACGUGCAGUUUUGACUGCCAUUCUUGAAUGCCUGAGAGGUUAGUGGAAUUGCAGGUGUAGGAGUGAAAUCCGUAGAUAUCUGCAGGAACACCGGCGGCGAAGGCGGCUAGCUGGUAGAGCAUUGACGCUGAGGCGCGAAAGCGCGGGUAGCAAACAGG